rnacentral:rRNA from 1 species
UAGGGAAUCUUCGGCAAUGGGGGCAACCCUGACCGAGCAACGCCGCGUGAGUGAAGAAGGUUUUCGGAUCGUAAAGCUCUGUUGUAAGAGAAGAACGUGUGUGAGAGUGGAAAGUUCACACAGUGACGGUAACUUACCAGAAAGGGACGGCUAACUACGUGCCAGCAGCCGCGGUAAUACGUAGGUCCCGAGCGUUGUCCGGAUUUAUUGGGCGUAAAGCGAGCGCAGGCGGUUUAAUAAGUCUGAAGUUAAAGGCAGUGGCUUAACCAUUGUUAGCUUUGGAAACUGUUAAACUUGAGUGCAGAAGGGGAGAGUGGAAUUCCAUGGGGAGCGGUGAAAUGCGUAGAUAUAUGGAGGAACACCGGUGGCGAAAGCGGCUCUCUGGUCUGUAACUGACGCUGAGGCUCGAAAGCGUGGGGAGCAAACAGG